GACGAACGCUGGCGGCGUGCUUAACACAUGCAAGUCGAACGGAAAGGCCCUGCUUUUGUGGGUUGCUCGAGUGGCGAACGGGUGAGUAACACGUGAGUAACCUGCCCUUGACUUUGGGCAAACUUCAGGAAACUGGGGCAAAUACCGGAUAGGAGCUCCUGCUGCAUGGUGGGGGUUGGAAAGUUUCGGCGGUUGGGGAUGGACUCGCGGCUUAUCAGCUUGUUGGUGGGGUAGUGGCUUACCAAGGCUUUGACGGGUAGCCGGCCUGAGAGGGUGACCGGCCACAUUGGGACUGAGAUACGGCCCAGACUCCUACGGGAGGCAGCAGUGGGGAAUAUUGCACAAUGGGCGGAAGCCUGAUGCAGCAACGCCGCGUGCGGGAUGACGGCCUUCGGGUUGUAAACCGCUUUCGCCUGUGACGAAGCGUGAGUGACGGUAAUGGGUAAAGAAGCACCGGCUAACUACGUG
rnacentral:rRNA from 1 species